GUAGGGAAUAUUGCGCAAUGGACGAAAGUCUGACGCAGCGACGCCGCGUGAGUGAUGAAGGCCUUAGGGUCGUAAAGCUCUGUUGAAUGGGAAGAAAAAAAUGACGGUACCAUUCGAGGAAGGACCGGCUAACUUCGUGCCAGCAGCCGCGGUAAUACGAGGGGUCCUAGCGUUGUUCGGAAUCAUUGGGCGUAAAGGGUGUGUAGGUGGCCAUGUAAGUCAGGUGGGAAAGCCCCGGGCUCAACCCGGGAAGUGCACUUGAUACUGCGUGGCUUGAGUACCGAAGAGGGUAGUGGAAUUCCAGGUGUAGUGGUGAAAUACGUAGAUAUCUGGAGGAACACCGGUGGCGAAGGCGGCUACCUGGUCGAGUACUGACACUGAGACACGAAAGCAUGGGGAUCAAACAGGAUUAGAUACCCUGGUAGUCC
rnacentral:rRNA from 1 species